UCAAGAAUAUUCCUCAAUGGGCGAAAGCCUGAAGGAGCGACGCCGCGUGUAUGAUGAAGCCCCUCGGGGUGUAAAAUACUUUUAUUAGGGACGAAUCUAUGACGGUACCUAAUGAAUAAGGGGCUGCUAACCUCGUGCCAGCAGCAGCGGUAAUACGAGGGCCCCAAGCAUUAUCCGGAUUUACUGGGCGUAAAGGGUCCGCAGACGGUUUGUCGCAUCUCCCGUUAAAUCCCGAGGCUCAACUUCGGAACCGCGGGAGAGAUGGAUAAACUAGAGGCCGGAAGAGGCAAAUGGAAUUGCUGGUGUAGGGGUUAAAUCCGUUAAUAUCAGCAGGAACACCGAAUGUGUAAACAAUUUGCUGGGACGGUCCUGACGUUCAGGGACGAAAGCGUAGGGAGCA
rnacentral:rRNA from 1 species